GAUUGUCGGAUUUAUAACUUUAAUUUUAUUAUAAUAUAUAUGUGCUGUAAAUAUAGUUGAAACUGUGUCUUGCAAAAUUAUACUAAUAACACUUAUUCUUAUUUCAAUUAGUUGUGUGACGCAUGUAUGUCAAAGAUAAUUGUAAGUUCGUUAUAGAUAAGCUGAAUUCAAGCCAAAGUAUGCUAAUAACAUUAUUGUAUGUAUUGCAUGAUGAAAAUAUGUAGGUACGGUUUCCGGACCGAAGUUAUAAAAUGUCGUGACGAACGCUAAUUUAGUUAGAAUGGUUAGAGGUCGUAAAGUAAAAGACCGGAUUGUUGUAAUUAACGUAUAGUAUUUGUGUG